CGACCUCAGAUCGGACGAGAUUACCCGCUGAAUUUAAGCAUAUAACUAAGCGGAGGAAAAGAAACUAACAAGGAUUUCCCCAGUAACGGCGAGUGAAGCGGAAAGAGCCCAGCACCGAAUCCCUCAGUGUCACGCUGACGGGAACUGUGGUGUGUGGGACGCCACCAGUCGCAUCAGAGGGUGCCGAAGUCCUCCUGAUCGGGGCUUCACCCAGAGCGGGUGUAAGGCCUUUACAGGUGCCACUCUGUGCGGCCGCGAGCGUCUCAGGAGUCGGGUUGUUUGGGAAUGCAGCCCAAAGCGGG
rnacentral:rRNA from 2 species